UCAGCUGUUUUUGAACUACAACUCCCAUAAUCCCCAACCACAGUGGCCCAUAGCCAGGGAUUAUGGGAAUUGUAGGGCAACAUCUGCAGGAGGGCCAAAGUUGAGCAGCCUAGGUAUUAAAGACACCUAUAUGCAGAUUCUCUUACCUGGCAUUGGCAUGUACUGUCUCCUCUUAUCAUUUGAGUUUUUUGACCAGCUGUCAUGUGUUUCCUUCUGAUCUACCUUUGAUUCUACUCUGUUCCAUUCUGGUUUAUCUGAAACAUUUGCACCCUCACACCUUAAGGGAUUUUGCUUGCUGGACCAGGUACCACCCAGUUCUUGUCGGCAAUCCCCCCCUUGUGUCAUUUUAAAAUCUGCUCUGUGACCUUUUUGAUUUUAAGUGCCAGCAGUGUGGUUCCAUCUUGGUUCAAGUGGAACCCAUUCGUUUUGUAGAGGCUUCACUUGGCCCCAAAAUGUAUCCCAGUGCCUAACAAAUCUAAACCCCUCCUCCCGGCACCACCAGCUCAUCCAUGCAUUGAGACCCCUCAGCUGAUCCUGUGCAUGGAACAGGUAGCACUUCAGAGAAUGCUACCCUGGGAGUCCUGGAAUUCAGUAUGGAAUUUAGCAGCCUAACUGGCUUCCAGUACCUCCCAACUGCAUUUUCCAACAUAGUUGGUGCUGAUGUGCACCAUGGCAGCUGAUUCCUCCUUAGCACUGACUAAAAGCCUAUCUAGACAUUGUGUGAUGUCUGCAACCUUCGCACCAGGUAGGCAAGUCACUGUGUGGUCUACACGCGGGUCAAAGACCCAUCUCUCUGUGGCCCUAAUGAUCAAGUCACCUACUACUAGGAGACCCCACCCCCUAGAGGAGUUUCCUCUGUGCGAGAGGAUCUGGAUGCAUCGCCCAAGGAAGGGUUCCCUGUUAAGGGAGUGUUUCCCUCUUCCUCAGACUGAUGUCAUCCUUCCCUGAGACCUUCAUUCUCCAUGGCAGCAGAGCAGCUGUCAACCUGGGAGUGGGAUGCCUCUAUCACAUCCCUGAGGGUCUCAUCUAUAUACCUCUCUGCCUUCCUGAGCUUCUGUGGGUCAGCCACCUUGGCUUCAAGGGAACAAACUUAUUCCCCAAGAGCCAGGAGCUCCUUGUACCAAUCACACACCCAGGACUUCGGCCCCUUAGGCAGAUAGUCAUAAAUCCAACACUCAGUGUAAUACACUGUGAAGCACUCCCUCUCCUGCUGGCAUUCUACCUUCAUAACUGGUUUGAUUGGAUAUAGGGCUUGUUCACUUGAAACUAGGUAUUGGGUGCAGUUGUCAGCUAAUUAAAGGUUUUUCCUGGUUAUGGGGAGGGCAUCCGUGAAUGAUGGGUCGUCAAUCACUGCAUGCUCCGAGACAGGGCCAAUGAAAAACGAGCAACACAUCUACUCCCUGGUAUCUGCCCCCUGUCACCCAGUUCUGGUCCUGUCUUCGCUCCGGGACAGAUCUAUUGCUGACUCCUAUCUGGUCCCUCCUUUAGCUAUUUUUUUCUCUGUGUGCAAGGGGGGGAAAGGAGUUGCCUCCUUUUGUGCCGGUCUUGUGAGUUUUUACCUGUGUCUGCUUGUGGUUGUGUUCCUUAGUGUUUGUCUUCGUUUGGAUUCGUAUUUCCCCUGUUGUGUUUUGGCGCUUAUAAUGGAAUUAGCUCACAUGGGAGACAUGUUAAAGGGCUCUUUAUCGGAGGGUCCUCUGUCUGAUACUCCCAGAGAUAUCCCUAAUGUUCCUUCGGGAGCAGGGGACGGCGGAAAUCAUUUCAAUGAUUCUGAACUCUCAAAACCGAUUGAGGUAGAGAGAAAUGGUGCCGGGCAACCACGAGCGGUAUUGACUAAGCCCUUAAAGGCACUUAAGAAAUCUAAGCACCUUAAAGACGCUGAUGGCGCUAAGAGGAAGAAGAAGGCAAAAAAGGGCGACUCCAAAAAAGCUCCUCUCAGUGUAAGGCUUCAGAUACGAGCCGUUAGGAGCCAGCAGCGGGAGAAGGCGACCUCUCUCAUUCCCGCCGAAACUGCGCCCGCCAUUUUAACCGCUCCUUUACCUACCGUUUUGCCCGGGCAGUCUGCCUUAUUGACUGAAAUGGCGGCUACUGAAACGGCCGUUGAGGGAGGAAAAAACCGAGCAGAUGUGAGCGUCUCUCCGGCAAAAGCCUCCGGCGAUCCCCGGAAUGCCGCUAUGGGCACAGGCGGGGAGUUCAAGGCAGCCUUAUCGGGAAAUGACGGGGCGGGGGGAAUUUCCCUACCCGCUGUCGGCCCUAACGGAGAGCCUUUGUCAUCUAAGGAGCUCUCCUGGUUAAGCUCAUUCAUAGAGCGACAUUGCAGGGCAGUGGUUUCCCCCCUCUUGGAGCAGGCAGGCGCGCCCCAGCAGACAGGCGCUUCUCAGGGGCUUACCGGGCAUUCGAUCACUUUGGCUCCUCCUGCCUCGCAACGUAAGGGCCGUCGGCCGUCCUUUUCGUCUUCCCCUGGGUCCAGCCCGGUCAGGCAAGCUAUCCCGGUGGGGGAACGGGUCUGGCUGGCCAGAGAAUUAAGAAAACGCAGGCAACAAGGUCCCUUUGACCUGUCUUCAUCUGAGGAGGAGGACAUUCGGGGGCAGGCUGUCAGUUUAACCAAACGCUCACGCCUGGAUGCAAACACUGCGCGAGUACAGCGCAAGGGCACAGAGAUCAUCCCUAAUCCAGAGGCCAGGGGAGUGACCCAGCCAACAGGGCAGGCAGAUAUCUCCCUAUCGUGCCCACAGGCUGCCCAGCAUUUUCCAGACGCGACAGGCUCGGGUUCGAGUUCAGCCACCUCUGACAAGGAAGAGGGUGAACUCUCAGACGAACAGACGCCCACGGACAAACCCUCUACAACUAGGUUAUUUGCUAUGACUGAGUUUGAAGUGCUUCUGGCCAAAGCCAAGAGGGCUAUUAAGGACGUAUCUAAGGAAACGUCCCCUAACCCUACGCCUGGGUUGGAUCAGGAGGUUUUUCCAUCCACGUCCUCCUGUCAGGCCACGGUCCCCUUCCCUGCUUUAUUUAAGGAAGUAAUGUUGGCAGAAUGGGGGGUGCCAGUGGCCUCUAAACCCGCUCUCUAUUUUCCUAAAAAGCUGUACAAUUUACCAUCUGAUGUUAUGUCUCUGUUGGCAGUUCCUGUCGUCGAUGCCCCAGUGGCUCAACUGGUGACUGGCGCUUUGGUUAACAAGGAGGGCGAGGAGUUCCUCAGGUCUCCGGAAGAAAAGAAAACGGAUCAUCUCCUGAAGAAAAGUCAUGAGGCCUCGGCGACCGUUAUUAGAGCGGCAGCCACUAACUCUGUGUUCGCAAGGGCCACCAUAUUGUGGACCAAGGAAUUGGCCAAACUUGUUCCCCCUGAAAAUAAAAAACUCAGACAGGGUCUGAACAAGAUUGCCAGGGCAUCUGCCCUUAUGGCUGACUCUAGUCUGGACUGCUUGCAGCAUGCGUCCAGAUCAAUGGCUGCUAGUGUGGCGGUUAGAAGGGGGCUAUGGCUGCGACAUUGGAGAGUCGAUUCUAAGUCAAAAUCCACAUUGGCGGCUACUCCUUUCCGUGGGGCAAAAUUGUUCGGGGAAGCGUUGGAGCCGGUUCUAGUAGAGACGCGUGACAAGAAAAAGGCGAUGCCUGUGGGGCGUGGGGAUGUUAGGAGAUCCUUUCGGACGGGCUCGGGUUUUCAGUAUUCCUUUCGCCCCUACAGAUCCUUCAACCGCCCUGGUUCAGCCGGAGUCCGAGACGGCUUCAGAGACAGAGAGUUCCGGGGAUCUCAGUACAGACACCCUUGGCGCCAAUCCUGGAAUACCAAAACCAGAGGAUCAGGCCGUAAGACGGGGUUCUAUGGAACUUCUCAGGAACACCGGAACCAGACUGAGGAGGCUAUCAACCAAGUAUAGAACAGAAAAGAUCUAUCCAACAGUUACUGGAGAAAAAGAAGAAAAUGUGAAAAAGAACAGAUACAAGGAUAUCCUGCCAUUUGAUCACAGCAGAGUUAAACUUACUUUAAAAACUCCCCCACAAGAUUCAGACUACAUCAAUGCAAAUUUUAUUAAG